GCUGCCUUAGCUCAAUCGGUAGAGCAACUGACUUGUAAUCAGUAGGUUGGGGGUUCGACUCCCCUGGGCAGCU
rnacentral:tRNA from 1 species